AGGCAUUUAUAGCUCUUAGAGUAUUUUCAGUUUUGUUUGUAAGAAAUAUAAGUGUUAGUUAAAAAUAUAAGGGCCUUUUUUUUUCAUGUGGAUAACUAUUUACCAGCAAUUUUACUCCAACUUUUAAUGAUAGCAAUUUUUAUAAAAGGAACUUUCAUUGGGGUUGUUCUUUAGAGGGGUCGUAAUUUGAUUUUUUCCGGAGUUUUCUCAACAAAUGUGUAAACUGGGAAAAACGUAGAAAAACCUAAG